rnacentral:rRNA from 1 species
GUGAGGAAUAUUGGUCAAUGGGCGAGAGCCUGAACCAGCCAAGUCGCGUGAAGGAAGACGGCCCUACGGGUUGUAAACUUCUUUUGCAAUGGAAUAAAAAGAGUUACGUGUAAUUCAUUGUAUGUACAUUGCGAAUAAGGAUCGGCUAACUCCGUGCCAGCAGCCGCGGUAAUACGGAGGAUCCGAGCGUUAUCCGGAUUUAUUGGGUUUAAAGGGUGCGUAGGCGGAUUGGAAAGUCAGCGGUGAAAGUUUGCAGCUUAACUGUAAAAUUGCCAUUGAAACUGUCAGUCUUGAGUGCAAAUGAGGUAGGCGGAAUGUGUUGUGUAGCGGUGAAAUGCAUAGAUAUAACACAGAACACCAAUUGCGAAGGCAGCUUACUGGGAUGCAACUGACGCUGAGGCACGAAAGCGUGGGGAUCAAACAGGAUUAGAAACCCCUGUAGUCC